UCCUACGGGAGGCAGCAGUGGGGAAUAUUGGACAAUGGGGGGAACCCUGAUGCAGCCAUGCCGCGUGUGUGAAGAAGGCCUUCGGGUUGUAAAGCACUUUCAGCGAGGAGGAAGGGUAGUGUGUUAAUAGCACAUUGCAUUGACGUUACUCGCAGAAGAAGCACCGGCUAACUCCGUGCCAGCAGCCGCGGUAAUACGGAGGGUGCAAGCGUUAAUCGGAAUUACUGGGCGUAAAGCGCACGCAGGCGGUUUGUUAAGUCAGAUGUGAAAUCCCCGCGCUUAACGUGGGAACUGCAUUUGAAACUGGCAAGCUAGAGUCUUGUAGAGGGGGGUAGAAUUCCAGGUGUAGCGGUGAAAUGCGUAGAGAUCUGGAGGAAUACCAGUGGCGAAGGCGGCCUUCUGGACUGACACUGACACUGAGGUGCGAAAGCGUGGGUAGCAAACAGGAUUAGAUACCCUGGUAGCCCA
rnacentral:rRNA from 1 species